rnacentral:rRNA from 1 species
UAUUUCACAAUGGGGGAAACCCUGAUUCAGCGACGCCGCGUGAGUGAAGGAGUAUUUCGGUAUGUAAAGCUCUAUCAGCAGGGAAGAAAAUGACGGUACCUGAUUAAGAAGCCCCGUCUAACUACGUGCCAGCAGCCGCGGUAAUACGUAGGGGGCAAGCGUUAUCCGGAUUUACUGGGUGUAAAGGGAGCGUAGACGGCUGUGCAAGUCUGGAGUGAAAUGCCGGGGCUUAACCCCGGAACUGCUUUGGAAACUGUGCAGCUAGAGUGCAGGAGAGGUAAGUGGAAUUCCUAGUGUAGCGGUGAAAUGCGUAGAUAUUAGAAGGAACACCAGUGGCGAAGGCGGCUUACUGGACUGUAACUGACGUUGAGGCUCGAAAGCGUGGGGAGCAAACAGG